UUCGCUGGCAGAUAGCUCAUCAACUAUAGCAACUGAUGUCGUUGAAUGUUGAAAGCUAAUAAAUCAAUAAUCUUCGGUCAAACCAAAAAGUACCGUCAAGGCAUAUCCCCCAACAAAUCAAACUUUCAAAGAAACAUCACGUUAAACGUAUUCUUACACAAACCUUUAUAUACUAAAUAUGUAUGCUGGCGAAAUAAAAU